AGCAAAAACUGAGAUUCAGUAAAGGUGAGAAAAACAAUACUUUAAUGUACUUGAGCCUUAAUUUUGACUUGUAGUGUUCUUGCAAAGGAGCAGUUUUUCUAUUGCCUUCCUGAUACCCUUGAUAUCCCUAAACUCUACAAGACGUCCUUUCCUCUAUGGAGCAGCAUAAGAUUUUAAUGUAAUUCAGAAGCAGUGACACCAUUCAUCCAGCCCUGUUCAAUAUUCCAGAUUAUUCUUUCCUUCUUACUCUUCUAGGAUGCUUACAUAAGAAGAGUAAAUUCCUCAAUGAAUUGUGUUUAGAGCAAAGCAAGGCUGGGCAAAGCAUAGCCAACUACUUGCACAGAAUCAGAGACCAAGCAAUUUCUCCAGUUUUUACUUCCUGGAAACCAAAAGCAGCUCUGUGUUCUUGCCCUAGGGAUCACCCUCAGUGCCUUCCAGAAUGUCACACUACCAGUUUUUCCAAGUCGGCACUCCCUAGUUGGACCAAGAGACUUUUUCACUUCAAAAGGAAGUGCUACUUUCUUUUCACGUUUGAUCGUGUCUUUAAUCAUUUUCCCCAGAAUCGUAGUUUUAAGCAGAUAUAUAUUUAAAGCAGCAAGGCUUAAUAUGUACAAAUAUCUAUGUUUCCUUUUCCAUUAUUUUGCUGCAAGUUUUACAGCUCAAGGUAUGAGAAUCUUUUAAUCAUGUUACUAUAUCAAGUUCAGUAUACACAGAUAAAAGCUUAUCCCACAGACAUAAAGUAGGAAUGGGUGAAAACUAAGUUGAGAUAUUGGCCUGAAUUAAAAAGAGACGCAGGACACUCAAUUACUAGUUUUUCUUUUCUUUUCUUUUUAUUUUUUGGUUUUUGGGGCAUUAACAGGGAUCGAACUCAGGACCUUUCAUUUGCCAGGCAGAUGAGGCACCACUGAACUAAAUCCCUCGCGCAACUAGUUUUUAACUCUUAGUUUUAAGCAACUUUAUUUACCUGGGAAAGCAUCAAAUAUUUUGUUUCAUUAAAAAAAAAAAGGACCACUGCUUCAAAAUAUCUCUUCUUUUUCUUCCAAUGAUUAAAACAAUAAAAAACUAAUUAAACUGACACAAAAUCUCGCCAAAGACUUUUCUUCAGCUAGUUGCCAUUACCUAGAAUAUGGUUUUGAUUUGACUUAAGAUGUAACUAAACAAACAUUACAGGAGUGCACAGGAAAGUAAGUUAGUGGACAUAAAGGGAAGAAAGACAGCAGAGAGCCUGACGGCCUCCUAGUAGCUCAAAUGGCAACCUGAAAAAUGGUCGAGAAAAGUAAUUCAAGUGAUGUUCAGAAACUGGCUAAAUAUGGACUCUUGAGUUGGACCCAGACUCUGUCCAGAUUACCUUCUCUGUAGUGAAAUUUUGUAAGUUAGAGUUUCUCAAGGGCGUACAGUGCAUUCUACAUGAUACAUGGGAGCUUUUACAACAAAGUCCAAAGUAUAUAAGACAAAACAAAAAAGAGUAGAGCUAAUAAAAAACUAGAAAGAAAAAGAUGAAAACCUAAGGAAAGUAGAAAGGGGUAGGAACUUGAACAUUUUGUUUAAGAAGGAACUGUUGCUCUCUCUUGAAACUUUCACAUGGAAUAGAACACAUAGUAAUGAGAGAAGACUGUUAAACUAAAGAAACGAAAGAGAUCAUGUCUGAGUUCUAAGUGAUGGGUGUUGUCAAGAGAUAAGGGAAAGGAAAUCCCCUCGGGGGAGACAGAGGCUAAGGAUCAAUGGGUAGAAGUUGGUGGACUCACAAAUAGUAUUUAAAAUUAACUACUGACCUCUAGGUAACAUUCAGCUAUUCAGUUGCAAAGGAAAACUAUACUUUGAGGCUGC
ensembl:lincRNA